CAUGGCAAGCCCCUGGGUUCUCCAUUUUCUCUCUCAUGUAAGCAUGGAGGAAGACAAGAUGCAUCCUGAGAGUGAGAUAGUUAGAAAACAGGCCCUUACCUUCCUAUCUAGAAAUGUAGUUCUUGAAUAAAAUAUUUAUUCAAGUAUAACUUUUAAAGUGAUGGGCAAGCUUUUGCGCUUGGUGUGUCAAAAUUCACCAAAAAACCUAGCAUGACUUGGGUGGUGUGUCACUUUGAGAGAAAAAAACAUAAUUUUGAAAUAUGUAUAGUUUAAAUAACAAAAAUGCAUAAUUGUAAUAUAUAACAGUAUUUAAUAAAUCAAAAACUAUUUACUACCCUUAUUUCCAUGUACAACUAUGUAUGGUACCUCUUGCAGUUUCCACACUGAUUUCUCUCUAUUCUAGUUUCAAUGUAGUCAUGAAUAAUGAAUAAUAUAAUAGUAAUAAUAUGAUAAUAUACUACAAUAAUAAUAGAAUAAUAAUAGAAUGAUAUUAUAUAUAUAUAUAUAUAUAUAUAUACACACACACACACACACACACACACACACAUACAUACACACACACACACACACAUAUAUAUAUAAACUAGCUGUGCCCGGCCACGCGUUGCUGUGGAAUUGUCUGGUGGUGUUGGUGAGAACUUGUUGAGGUAGUGGUGGUACUGAAUGUCUGUUGUAUGGUUGUCUUUAUGUUUUGUAUGUACACUGAAGUGGAUUAUAUGGCAGUGUGGAGUCAAGAUAAUCCAGUUCAAAGCAGAUAAUAUAAGAUAUAAAUGGGUUAUAUAGCUGUGUGGAAGGGCCUUGAGUCUACACUGCCAUAUAAUCCAGUUAAAAUGUGAUAAUCUGUGGAAGAGGCCUAAGUGAGGCCUAACUGGGCUGAGUAGGUGCUAGGAGACCAAGUGGGCGGAGCUUAGCCUUCAAACUGGCAGCAAUUGGAUAAAAACUAUUAUUCCUCUCCCUGUAAUUAGGACUUUAUUUUUCUUUUCUUUUUGUUGUAUCAACCUAGAGCCGUGAAUGAUGGGUUGAUACAACAAAAAGAAAAGAAAAAUAAAGUCCUAAUUAGAGGGAGAGCAAUAAUUGUUUUUAUCCAAUUGCUGCCAGUUAGAGGGUUAAGCUCCGCACAUAGACCCCCUCUAUCCUCACCACUUUCACAGUACACCAACAACCAAAUGCAUACUAAACAUAAAGACAACCAUACAACACACAUUCAAUACCACCACUACCUCAGCAAUUUCUCACCAACACCACCAGACAACGCCACAGCAACGCGUGGCCGGGCACAGCUAGUACUGUUAUAUAAUCCAGAUUAUCAAAGUAGAUAAUCCAGAACUGGAUUAUAUGAGUCUACACUGCUAUAUAAUCCUGUUCAAAGCUGAUAAUCUGGAUUUUAUACAGCAGUGUAGAUGUGUUAACAGUCUUAAUAUAAUUUAGUUAUGUGCUACUCAUUGCAGAAAGGAAUUAUAAAUAUCUUAUUCAUCAUUGGUAGUUAGUUACUGCUCAAGUAGUGGGUGUUUAUUAAGGAUCCUGCUGCAAAUACAGUAGAGUCUCACUUAUCCAAUGUUCUGGAUUAUCCAACACAUUUUUGUAGUCAAUGUUUUCAAUAUAUCAUGAUAUUUUGGUGCUAAAUUAGUAAAUACAGUAAUUACUACAUAGCAUUAAUG
ensembl:lncRNA